UGAAACCAGACCUGGAGCCGUAGAAGAUAAAGGAGGGAAAAGACAAGCAUUGCUGAGAGCCCGUCCAAGCAGAGAACUCUAGUGUGGUUCAGUGGACAGAGAGCAGCAAUUUGAUCUCCUGCAUCUGAAUUCAAGCCCUAAUUCUGCCUUAGAUACGUUGAUUUCUUUUGUUGUUUGUAGCACUUCUACCCUAAAGCCAAAGAAAAGGCUCCCAGAGUUGCGUACAGAUAACUACAGAAAGACGGACAGGACGAACAAAAUGAAAAUGGUGUAAGAGGGAGGAAGAAGCAAGCAAGCUCAGACACAAGUUCUUAGUUCUAUGGUCAUCUGGUGUGGUGACCAAUAGGUGGAAAAGUUCAGAAGAGUUAGCUGAUCUCUCCAUUUUGCUGCAGUCAGAUGCAAUGGCUGCUGGAGGGAGAGAAGCCUAGCUUCUUGCAGCAGAGAUGGAAGUGGCCAUCAGUGGGUUGUCAGCACCCGGGGCAAGGCAAGUAAUUUGCGCCCCCUAACCCGUGGAUUUUAGUAGGGGCAGAGAGCUGCGAGUGCGAGCGCGCGCCCCCAGAUGUUGCGCCCAGUGCGGCCGGCCCCCCUGCACCCCCCACGCUACGCCACUGGUUGCCAUGCAUCUGUUUUCUUCCCUCUGUUACAGCCACGAUUAUGUGACUUUCUCAGCUUCAAUUUCUGCAUUCCAAAAAUAUUAUCUGCAUUGGGAUAAUAUUUAUUUCACAAGUUUAUAUACAGUUGUGUUUCUUUUGUAAUAAAACCUCUGGGUGGUUUGCAAAAAAAAGAGUAAAAAGAUAAAAUAGUUUCCCAAUGUAAAUUAUUGCCAUUAUUAAUGACAUUGUAGCAACUCCCCCCCCCCAAAAAAAAUCCCAAGGCAGAUUCAUAUCUGGGGUUAUUGUUUCUGUGUAUUACUCUGUACUUUUGUGCUUUUGUGUUGUAAACCACCCUGUGAUCCUUGAAGGGCAUAAAAGAAAUUUCAUAGAUAAAAAGCAUUCCUGCCAAACCAGACGAUCCACAGUGCCGUGUGGCACAAACAGAAGCAGCUCCUAGUUUACCUGAUGAGGAGCUCCAUGACAAUACAAGCCUUACACACGCUCAAUUGAUACGGCUAGGAGGAAAGCCUUGGAGCUGCUUUUGGCAUCCCUAAAGAUCUAAGAGGGUUUAUUGUUGUGUCAAACCAUCGGAGGAUUCACCGGCCUUGCAAUUAAUGUCACGUCCAAAAUCUACCUCUGCAUAUGUUUGAAUGGGUGCUGCUUUCUGCACCUUCUCUGAACGUGACCAGAUGAAAAAGAGGAGAGGGUUAGUAAAAGGUAAAAGUGAGGGGAUUUGCAAAUUUCCCCACCCUGCUUGACAAGCUGCAACAGCUGAUAUUCCUUCUUCCACAACAGAUCUUUAUAAAAGCCCCAAAAUUCUAUACAUUUCUUUCAUUCUGUUUCUGCAUCUGAGGUCCAUAGCAGCCUCCAGAUAUGCUUUAUCAACCCCAUGAAGUGCAGGAUCGUGGAAUUUAAACCCACAGGACAGAGUGCAUAUUCUGGAAGAAGCAUAACUGCCAAAGCCACAAAUUCAAAAAUGCUCCACAGAAGUGUCCUACCUACUCGGAUAACAAAAUGUAUUGCUAUAGAAACACAAGUCUCCCCUUCCUUCAUAUAUAGACAGUUUAGCCAUCCUGUUUGGUCCACGCCUUGGAAUUCCCCCUCUCUUACUUUGCAGCUCCUUGGGCUGCAAAACUUUAUGACACUGUAGCCAUCGAUAACGCUGAGUCAAUAAUAGAAAUUGAGCAAUAUUCAAUCUAUGAUCUCUUAGCCCUGGCCCCCAAACCAAUCCCCUUAGCACAAAUAGGCAUUGCAUCACCCUAGCUAAAUUGAUUAGGUCAAAAUAGAGUCCUUAAUUAAUGAGAAGUCAGGGCUUGUCAACAUGAAAUCCAUUAAAGACCAGUUCAGUUUUAAUUUCA